AAAAAUAAUAAUGACACUCUAGUUUUCAGUUUUUAGAGUUUUAGGCGAAUGUUCCAUUUUUGGAACAUUGGCGUUUUAGGUUGUCAAAAGCAGCGUACACUCGCGCAUGCAUUUCGCCGUGUUUUUCUUCUUUUUCGGCAUGUUGAUGGCGCCCUCUACGUGUCGUUUGGCACAAACUUGAACGCUAUCUUUCCUUGGCAUUGUUUUGACAUAAGGCGUUCUGGCUUGGCACGUGGAAGGAGCAGCGUUCAACUGCAGCGCAUAGCCGCAUAGCCUUGUGAAUGUCAUGGCACAACGCUUCCUCACACUGGAGGCUGCAAUUGACCUAUUCUUCAGCCUUCCCGAUGACGAACGCGAAAGUGCGUCUAUAUGCCAAUUGCCUCCUGAUGAAGACGGCAACAUUACUGACGAGGAGCACGUGAACGAAAAUGACUUUUCUGAAGUUGUUCCCGAUGACGUUUGCGGGCAGGUUGAAGUUAUGCAGUGCUGCGAUGAAGACGUUGAUUCGCCUACUGCAUGUUCGAGUCCUGAGCCACGACGAAAGAAACCAGCGCGGAGGCAGUCGACUGCUGGAAAAGGGUGCAAGUCUUCAAACAAGGCUGGAAAAACAAAAACCCCGAAGCACUCCCUUAGCGCAGCAUGGGGUGACCAUGCUACGUUCGACAAAGCACUUCCCAGAGAGAACCCUCCGUUGUUGCUAGAGGCAUUUCCUGAGCUAGCAGACAUGAGCCCAUUUAUGCUGUUCAGCAAAAUUAUUUCACCAGAAUAUCUUGGUUCACUGGCUGAACUGACUGCAAGGUACGCACUCCAAAAGGGGGAGGAGGUGGACGUCACUGGAGCGGAUAUAGGUCAGUUUUUUGGCCUCUUACUGUUGAGUGGAUAUCACUCCGUUCCAUCUGAGGACUCGUAUUGGAGCACCGCAGAAGACCUUCGUGUGCCUUUAGUCGCGACAGUGAUGGCCCGCAAUAGGUUCCGGCAGCUAAAAAGGUUUUUUCAUGUAGUGGACAACACUCAGUUGAAAGAAGGCGAGAAGAUGGGCAAGAUUCAGCCGUUUUACGACGAAAUCUCCAAAUGUUUCCGCCAGUUUGGAGUUUUCCACGAAAGCCUCAGCAUCGACGAGUCAAUGGUGCCCUAUUAUGGCCACCACUCGUGCAAAAUGUUCAUUCGCGGUAAACCUAUCCGAUUUGGGUAUAAGAUAUGGAUGAUGUGCUCUUCGAAUGGGUACCCCUAUGCAAUGGAAAUAUAUUGCGGGAGAAACGAGAAGGACGAGAAGGCACCUCUCGGGCUGAGGGUUGUUAGCAAUAUGACAUCUGUCCUGCCCGCCCCUGAACAGCAUGAAGUCUACUUUGACAACUUUUUCACUUCGCACGGUCUCCUGACGAAACUGGCUAACCAGGGGAUUCGAGCGACGGGGACUGUACGAGAUGCCAGAACCGGUGGUUGUCCACUGAAGAGCUCGAAAGACGUCGGAAGAGAGGAAAGAGGUUCUUUCCACUACAAAUGUGACGGGGUGGUCUACACAUGCAGGUGGAACGACAAUGCAGUCGUCACAGUUUCUUCAAACCACCUCGGCCAUGAGCCCCUUGGAACUGCAAAACGCUUCUCACAGCGGGCAAACAAAAAGGUAGACAUUCCUCAACCAUAUUUGAUAAAAAAAUACAAUGAGGGCAUGGGGGGAGUAGAUGUUCUCGAUCGCCUCCUCGGAAGUUAUCGGCCAAGACUUCGAAGCAAAAAAUAGUGGUGGAACCUUUUCAGCAAUGGUCUGAACAUGGCUGUCGUCGCAGGAUGGCUCCUUCAUUGCGAGCUUCACAAAGGAACUGAUGCCGCCAUGACACACAUAGCAUUUCGGCGGGACGUCGUCAUGUCCUUGCUGCACCUCAAGCAGAGAAUCACUGUGCGGCCUGGACCUCGGGUUCAUCCCAGACGCGAGGAUAGGAAAACUGAUGGCCACUACAUCAUCUCAGCAACUCAGGGGAGGUGUGCUGAGUGCAAGAAAAACACGAUGAACCAGUGUCAGCAGUGCAAAAAGCGCCUACACACGAAGUGCUUUGCAGCAUACCAUGGCUUGUGAAGUGUUCACAGACGUGUUGUGAAGCAAGUAGGAUGAAAAAAUAAAUUUUCGCAAGCAUUGUUAUAAACAUUUAUACUUUUGAAAGGCCUUGUA